UACGUAGGGUGCGAGCGUUGUCCGGAAUUAUUGGGCGUAAAGAGCUUGUAGGCGGUUUGUCGCGUCUGCUGUGAAAUCUCAAGGCUCAACCUCGGGUCUGCAGUCGAUACGGGCAAACUAGAGUAUUGCAGGGGAGACUGGAAUUCCUGGUGUAGCGGUGAAAUGCGCAGAUAUCAGGAGGAACACCGGUGGCGAAGGCGGGUCUCUGGGCAAUAACUGACGCUGAGGAGCGAAAGCGUGGGGAGCGAACAGG
rnacentral:rRNA from 1 species